rnacentral:rRNA from 1 species
UGCGUAGGCGGAUUGAUAAGUCAGUGGUGAAAUCCUACAGCUUAACUGUAGAACUGCCAUUGAUACUGUAGAUCUUGAGUACGGUUGAGGUGGGCGGAAUGUGUCAUGUAGCGGUGAAAUGCUUAGAUAUGACACAGAACACCAAUUGCGAAGGCAGCUCGCUAAACCGUAACUGACGCUGAGGCACGAAAGCGUGGGGAGCGAACAGGAUUAGAUACCCUGGUAGUCC